rnacentral:rRNA from 1 species
AGUGAACGCUGGCGGUAGGCCUAACACAUGCAAGUCGAACGGCAGCACAGUAAGAGCUUGCUCUUACGGGUGGCGAGUGGCGGACGGGUGAGGAAUACAUCGGAAUCUACUUUUUCGUGGGGGAUAACGUAGGGAAACUUACGCUAAUACCGCAUACGACCUACGGGUGAAAGCAGGGGAUCUUCGGACCUUGCGCGAUUGAAUGAGCCGAUGUCGGAUUAGCUAGUUGGCGGGGUAAAGGCCCACCAAGGCGACGAUCCGUAGCUGGUCUGAGAGGAUGUUCAGCCACACUGGACCUGAACCACGUUCCAGCCUCUGAGGGGAGGCAGCAGUGGGAAUUUUUGGCCAAUGGGCGCAAGCCUGAUCCAGCCAUCCCGCGUGGGUGAAGAAGGCCUUCGGGUUGUAAAGCCCUUUUGUGGGGAAAGAAAAGCAGCAGGUUAAUCCCCCGCUGUUCUGCCGUUACCCAAAGAAUAGCACCGGCUAACUUCGUG